GAUGAACGCUGGCGGCGUGCCUAAUACAUGCAAGUCGAGCGAACAGACGAGGAGCUUGCCUCUCUGACGUUAGAGGCGGACGGGGGAGUAACAUGUAGAUAACCUAUCUAUAAGACUGGGAUAACUUCGGGAAACCCGAGCUAAUAUCGGCUAAUAUCUCGAACCGCACGGUUCAAUAGUGAAAGACGGUUUUGCUGUCAUUUACAGAUGGAUUCGCGCUGCAUUCGCUAGUUGGUGAGGUCACGGUUUACCCAGGCAACGAUGCGUAGCCGACCUGAGGGGGUGGUCGGCCACACUGGAACUGAGAGACGGUCCAGACACCUACGGGAGGAAGCGGUAGGGAAUCUUCCGCAAGGGACGAAGGCCGAACGGAGCAACACCGCGGGAGUGAUGAAGGUCUUCGGAUCGUAAAACUCUGUUAUUAGGGAGAAACAAAAGUGUAAGUAACUAUGCACAUCUUGACGGUACCUAAGCAGAAAGCCACGGCUAACUACGUG
rnacentral:rRNA from 1 species